rnacentral:rRNA from 1 species
CUACGUGCCAGCAGCCGCGGUAAUACGUAGGUGGCAAGCGUUGUCCGGAAUUAUUGGGCGUAAAGCGCGCGCAGGCGGAUUGGUCAGUCUGUCUUAAAAGUUCGGGGCUUAACCCCGUGAUGGGAUGGAAACUGCCAAUCUAGAGUAUCGGAGAGGAAAGUGGAAUUCCUAGUGUAGCGGUGAAAUGCGUAGAUAUUAGGAAGAACACCAGCGGCGAAGGCGACUUUCUGGACGAAAACUGACGCUGAGGCGCGAAAGCCAGGGGAGCGAACGGGAUUAGAUACCCCGGUAGUCCUGGCCGUAAACGAUGGGUACUAGGUGUAGGAGGUAUCGACCCCUUCUGUGCCGGAGUUAACGCAAUAAGUACCCCGCCUGGGGAGUACGACCGCAAGGUUGAAACUCAAAGGAAUUGACGGGGGCCCGCACAAGCGGUGGAGUAUGUGGUUUAAUUCGACGCAACGCGAAGAACCUUACCAGGUCUUGACAU